rnacentral:rRNA from 1 species
AUUGAACGCUGGCGGCAGGCCUAACACAUGCAAGUCGAGCGGAUGAAGGGAGCUUGCUCCUGGAUUCAGCGGCGGACGGGUGAGUAAUGCCUAGGAAUCUGCCUGGUAGUGGGGGAUAACGUCCGGAAACGGGCGCUAAUACCGCAUACGUCCUGAGGGAGAAAGUGGGGGAUCUUCGGACCUCACGCUAUCAGAUGAGCCUAGGUCGGAUUAGCUAGUUGGUGGGGUAAAGGCCUACCAAGGCGACGAUCCGUAACUGGUCUGAGGGGAUGAUCAGUCACACUGGAACUGAGACACGGUCCAGACUCCUACGGGAGGCAGCAGUGGGGAAUAUUGGACAAUGGGCGAAAACCUGAUCCAGCCAUGCCGCGUGUGUGAAGAAGGUCUUCGGAUUGUAAAGCACUUUAAGUUGGGAGGAAGGGCAGUAAGUUAAUACCUUGCUGUUUUGACGUUACCAACAGAAUAAGCACCGGCUAACUUCGUG